rnacentral:rRNA from 1 species
CUCCAAUAGCGUAUAUUAAAGUUGUUGCAGUUAAAAAGCUCGUAGUCGGACUUCUGGCUGUGCAGCGCGGUCCGCCGCAAGGUGUGCACUGUGCGGCGCAGCCAUCCUCUUGAGGACGCCGUGUGCCUUAACUGGGUGUGCGGUGGACUCAGGACCUUUACUUUGAAAAAAUUAGAGUGCUCAAGCAGGCCAUCGCUUGA